GAGAAUGUAGCUCAACUGGAUAGAGCGAUAGCCCUCUUAGCUAUAGGUCAUGGGUUCGAGUCCCAUCAUUCUCG
rfam:Fonticula alba strain ATCC 38817 mitochondrial scaffold supercont2.211, whole genome shotgun sequence.